GGGGAUUUAGCUCAGUGGUAGAGCGCUUGCCUAGCAAGCACAAGGCCUGGGUUCGAUCCCCAGCUUCG
rnacentral:tRNA from 1 species